GAAAGGAGGGGCUUAGCGGUCGCGGUCUGGUUGGAGCGGCGCCGGGGACCGUGUCCAGCAGCUGCGCUGGCCUCACAGUGCGUCUGGUUUACCCCAGUUGCUUUGGAGGGGCCUGGGGUAGGGGGUCCAGGAACCCCCGGGACCCCGGCAGCGCCACCAGUGCCCGGUCGGCGUCUGGGUCUGGCUUCUCCGCGUGACUCCCACGCUCUCCUCUCCUCACUCACGGGGCGUUCCUGGCGUCUGCGCUUUUCCUCCCACUCCCGGCCGUCCACUCUCAACUCCCUCCUCCCUCCGCCCCGCCCGCCUGGCGCGGAGAGUUCGCUCCGAGACCUGGGCGAGGGGUUGGCGCGGGAUCCGAAGCCCAGGAGGGCCUUGGGGGUGGCGGCCUCGUCCGGUUGCUGGGGAUGUGCCCCCACACCCAAGCGUCACUCUUCCCCCUCUUCCCGGAAGGCCUUUCGAGGGUUGCCUGGCAAGCCUGCUCUCGCCGCCCUGUAGCCGUAGAACACAUUUCUGGAAGAUGAAGAAAAACCUGCUUCUCUGUGAGAAACUGGAGACAACCUGGUGUCCAUCAAAUCAGCUAGGACUCAGCAAACGAGGAUGAGCGGACACAGCAAGCCACAAGCUGAUUAUGCACAACACUGAUGCUUACAUAACAAGAACAAAAACACACAAAACAAUACUAAGUAUUUUCUACUAGGACAUGUGUA
rnacentral:lncRNA from 1 species